CAGUAGCCGCGGGAAUACGUAGGUGGCAAGCGCUGUCCGGAAUUAUUGGGCGUAAAGGGCUCGCAGGCGGUUUCUUAAGUCUGAUGUGAAAGCCCCCGGCUCAACCGGGGAGGGUCAUUGGAAACUGGGAAACUUGAGUGCAGAAGAGGAGAGUGGAAUUCCACGUGUAGCGGUGAAAUGCGUAGAGAUGUGGAGGAACACCAGUGGCGAAGGCGACUCUCUGGUCUGUAACUGACGCUGAGGAGCGAAAGCGUGGGGAGCGAACAGGAUUAGAUACCCGCGUAGUCCCUGUCUCUUAUAC
rnacentral:rRNA from 1 species